rnacentral:rRNA from 1 species
AAGCAUAUCAAUAAGCGGAGGAAAAGAAACCAACAGGGAUUGCCCCAGUAACGGCGAGUGAAGCGGCAGCAGCUCAGAUUUGAAAUCGGGCGCCCCGUCGCGGGCGCCCGAGUUGUAGCCUGCAGAGGAUGCCCUGGGCGCGGCGGCCUUCCGAGUUCCCUGGAACGGGACGCCGCAGAGGGUGAGAGCCCCGUCCGGUCGGACGCCAGGCCCGUGUAGGGCUCCUUCGACGAGUCGAGUAGUUUGGGAAUGCUGCUCAAAACGGGAGGUAAAUGUCUUCCAAAGCUAAAUACCGGCCAGAGACCGAUAGCGCACAAGUAGAGUGAUCGAAAGAUGAAAAGCACUUUGGAAAGAGGGUUAAAGAGCACGUGAAAUUGCUGAAAGGGAAGCGCCCGCGACCAGACUUGGGCCCGGCAGGUCACCCGUCGUUCUCGGCGGGGCACCCUGCCGGGCGCAGGCCAGCAUCGGCUCGGCGCGGGGGACAAAGGCGGCGGGAACGUGGCUCCCUCCGGGGAGAGCUUACAGCCCGCCGCGCCAUGCCCUGCGCCGGGCCGAGGCACGCGCACCGCAAGGAUGCUGGCGUAAUGGUCGCCGGCGACCCGUCUUGAAACACGGACCAAGGAGUCGUCCUCGUAUGCGAGUGUUGGGGUGCCAAACCCCUGCGCGCAGUGAAAGCGAACGCAGGUGAGAGCCGGCAAGCGGCGCAUCAUCGACCGAUCCUGAUGUUCUCGGACGGAUUUGAGUAGGAGCAUACGGGGCCGGACCCGAAAGAAGGUGAACUAUGCCUGCGUAGGGUGAAGCCAUGGGAAACCAUGGUGGAGGCUCGCAGCGGUUCUGACGUGCGAAUCGAUCGUCAAACGUGGGCAUGGGGGCGAAAGACUAAUCGAACCUUCUAGUAGCUGGUUUCCGCCGAU